rnacentral:lncRNA from 1 species
CAGAACACCAAAACCCUUCUGGGCUGGGGAUGUGGGUUUGUGCAGCGCUCGUUUAAACGUGCAUGAAAAACCAGAGAGACCCUCAAGUACCCCUUAAAGUGGGUAUGGCGGCACACACUUGUAAGCCCAGCGCUUGGGAGGUGGAGGCAGGAGAAUCAGAAGUUCAAGGUCAUUUUUUGGCUAAAAGUAGAUUUCAAGGCCAGCCUGGGGUACACGAGGUGGUCUCAAAACACAAAACCAUUCCCAGCUGUAAAACCUGUAAUUUUCUGGAAAUCACACCAGCAAGUCCAUUUACAGCGAAAGGCUAUUUCCUAACUGCCCUAAUGUCUCCCAGUCUUGGUCUUAAUCGUACUAUAAUCCCAUCCAAGGCCCCUGGAGCCACCUUAUAACCCCAGUAAUGGAAAAGGGAACUAGAGACAGGAGGGGAAA